GUAAUAGGAGGAGCUAUUAUUAUUCUCUGGGCAAAAAGAUGAUCUUUCAGCCGUUUUAAUGAUCCAGAUGGAUCUUCAGAAAUAAUCAGAUCAAUUUCAGAAUCUCAACUGAGUUUUAAGUAUAAUGUUCUGAGGAAAGCUACCAAGGAAUUCGAUUUGGGAAGUAAGAUUGGCCAAGGAGGGUAUGGAACAGUUUAUAAGGGAAUUCUACCAGGUGGGAGGGAAAUUGCAGUGAAGAGGCUGCUCUUCAACACAAGACAAUGGGUGGAUCAGUUCUUCAAUGAAGUAAAUCUCAUCAGUGGGGUUCAACACAAAAACCUUGUCAAACUUAUUGGUUGCAGCAUUGAAGGUCCUGAGAGCCUCUUGGUUAAUGAGUAUCUCUGCAACACUAGCCUGGACCGGUUCUUAUAUGGUAAUUUC